rnacentral:rRNA from 1 species
AACGACUCUCGGCAACGGAUAUCUCGGCUCUCGCAUCGAUGAAGAACGUAGCGAAAUGCGAUACUUGGUGUGAAUUGCAGAAUCCCGUGAACCAUCGAGUCUUUGAACGCAAGUUGCGCCCGAAGCCUUUUGGCCGAGGGCACGUCUGCCUGGGCGUCACGCAACGUCG